GCGCGUCAUUCAUGCCAUUCCCGCUGGCGGCAGUUCCCCGCCCGCCGCUCCUCCCCAUUCAGCCGACAGCCCUCAUCCUCACUAAUCUCAGCUCGACCCCUCCUCCCAGCCCCGGCGGCUGGCGACCGGUGAUCUGGUUUCUGUCCCCGUGGUUUGCCUCCUCUGGAAUGUCGUGUCGUGGAAUCGUCCUUCUGGACCCUUUGAUUCUGGCCUCUUCCCUCCGCAGUGCGUGUGAGAUGCGUCCUGGUGCUGUGCCCAGCAGUGGUUUCCCUUUGAUCGAUGAGGCUGUUCCGGUGUGUGGAUGUCUGUUUAUCCAUCUGCUUGUUGAAAGACAUUUGGACCGUUUCCCACUUUCUCUGAUCAUGAAUAAAGCUACUCUAAACACCAGCGAA
rnacentral:lncRNA from 1 species